UACGAAGGGGGCUAGCGUUGUUCGGAAUCACUGGGCGUAAAGGGCGCGUAGGCGGCUUUGUAAGUCGGGGGGUGAAAGCCUGUGGCUCAACCACAGAAUUGCCUUCGAUACUGCAUGGCUUGAGACCGGAAGAGGUAAGUGGAACUGCGAGUGUAGAGGUGGAAAUUCGUAGAUAUUCGCAAGAACACCAGUGGCGAAGGCGGCUUACUGGUCCGGUUCUGACGCUGAGG
rnacentral:rRNA from 1 species